rnacentral:rRNA from 1 species
GUUGACCUCGGAUCAGGUAGGAAUACCCGCUGAACUUAAGCAUAUCAAUAAGCGGAGGAAAAGAAACCAACAGGGAUUGCCUCAGUAACGGCGAGUGAAGCGGCAACAGCUCAAAUUUGAAAUCUGGCCCCAGGCCCGAGUUGUAAUUUGCAGAGGAUGCUUUUGGUGAGGUGCCUUCCAAGUUCCCUAGAACGGGACGCCAGAGAGGGUGAGAGCCCCGUACAGUUGGACACCGAGCCUUUGUAAAGCUCCUUCGACGAGUCGAGUAGUUUGGGAAUGCUGCUCAAAAUGGGAGGUAUAUUUCUUCUAAAGCUAAAUACCGGCCAGAGACCGAUAGCGCACAAGUAGAGUGAUCGAAAGAUGAAAAGCACUUUGAAAAGAGGGUUAAACAGCACGUGAAAUUGUUAAAAGGGAAGCGCUUGUGACCAGACUUGCGUCCGGUGAAUCACCCAGCUCUCGCGGCUGGGGCACUUCGCCGGCUCAGGCCAGCAUCAGCUCGCUGUCGGGAACAAAAGCUUCAGGAACGUAGCUCUCUUCGGGGAGUGUUAUAGCCUGUUGCAUAAUACCCUUCGGCGGGCUGAGGUACGCG